rnacentral:rRNA from 1 species
GACGUAGGGCGCGAGCGUUGUCCGGAUUUAUUGGGCGUAAAGAGCUCGUAGGCGGCUUGUCGCGUCGACUGUGAAAACCCGUGGCUCAACCAUGUGGUCUGCAGUCGAUACGGGCAGGCUAGAAUUCGGUAGGGGAGACUGGAAUCCUGGUGUAGCGGUGAAAUGCGCAGAUAUCAGGAGGAACACCGGUGGCGAAGGCGGGUCUCUGGGCCGAUACUGACGCUGAGGAGCGAAAGCGUGGGGAGCGAACAGG